rnacentral:rRNA from 1 species
CCCUUAGAUGUUCUGGGCCGCACGCGUGCUACACUGAGUGGAUCAGCGGGUCAGGUUGCGCGAAAGUGUUUCCUAAUCUUUAAAUCCGCUCGUGAUGGGGAUUGACGGUUGCAAUUUUCCGUCAUGAACGAGGAAUACCUUGUAAGCGCGGGUCAUCAUCCCGCGCUGAAUACGUCCCUGCCCUUUGUACACACCGCCCGUCGCUACUACCGAUUGAAUGGUUUAGCAAGGUCUUCGGAUUGGCGCCUGACAGUUUCGACUGUCUUCGUGUCCGAGAAGAUGAUCAAACUUGAUCAUUUAGAGGAAGUAAAAGUCGUAACA